UGAUAAUUUAAAGUUUGGUUAGAAUAUUCACUUCAGCCGCAGCUAGAGCUCUAUAGAUGGUGCUACAUUUAUAUGGAGUUAAGCUAUGGAAUGAUUAAGAUGGUGAAUAGUAAAUAUUUUAGAAAAUAUGUUAAAAAAAAUUCUUGAUAUUAUGAAAUUAAGUUGUUAUUAGUUUAGUUUUGUAAUUUCAAUAGUAGUUGUUGAAUAUGUGACCCAACUUUUGAUGUUGAUUUCGUGUUUUAGUUGAAAAAGAAGUUAAAGAGGGAUCAAUGUCGUUAAGGAUGUUUUUGGGCAACAAGAUGGCGUUGGGCAACCAAAGAGGUCCCCAGGCACCAAUUGAGGUGAAAAACUGGAGAUAUUUAUCGAAUACUUGACGGUUGGGUGCUUUUGGAGGCGUUAGGACUGUUACUCGCUUUUAGUCCACUGCAAGCUCGAGCGUUGCGCGCCGAUCGCUUGGCUGGAGGCUGCAGCUCUUUAUUCGAAAAAAAAAAAAAUUGUUUCCUAAUUUUUGGCUCGUUUUUAAUCUCCUUUACAACUUUAAAAUAUUCUUUUGAGUCAUAAUUAUAUAGUCCAUUGAUUGUAUGGUUUUCAUAUAACUUUGUAUGAGUUAGAAUCAAGUUAGAAACACAAUAUUUUAUAUUCUUUCUCCAUAUUAAUAAAUUAUUUAUUUC
rnacentral:lncRNA from 1 species